rnacentral:sRNA from 1 species
GCCGGCGGGAAGUUUGUUAAAAAAUUUCGCAUGGUGAAUCCCCCUGUGCGGAGGGGUAAUCAGCGAGUAGGUAUAUGGGAUAAUCGCGGAUUCAGGUGCUGGUACUGAAUUCACCGGGAGGCACCCGGCACCAUGCAAUGGCACAUAGCGCCACUCUCCAGCCCCUCUCCGGAGGGGCUGUUUAUAUUG